GGAGUGGACUGCCGGCGACAAGCCGGAAGGAAGGGUGGGAUGACGUCAAGUCAUCAUGGCCCUUAUGUCCAGGGCGACACACGUGCUACAAUGGCCGGCACAGGCGGGAAGCGAGGGGGCGACCUUGAGCGGAUCCCUCAAAGCCGGUCUCAGUUCGGAUUGCAGUCUGCAACUCGACUGCAUGAAGUUGGAAUCGCUAGUAAUCGUGGAUCAGCCAAGCCGCGGUGAAUACGUUCCCGGGCCUU
rnacentral:rRNA from 1 species